rnacentral:rRNA from 1 species
UACGUAGGGUGCGAGCGUUAAUCGGAAUUACUGGGCGUAAAGCGUGCGCAGGCGGUUUGUUAGACAGAUGUGAAAGCCCCGGGCUUAACCUGGGAAUGGCCGUUGAAACUGGCGAACUGGAGUGUGGCAGAGGGGGGUGGAAUUCCGGCGUGUAGCAGUGAAAUUCGUAGAUAUUCGCAAGAACACCGGUGGCGAAGGCGGCCAACUGGACCAUCACUGACGCUGAGGCGCGAAAGCGUGGGGAGCAAACAGGA